AAAUUAAAUAUAAUGUAAUCCUCACCACCUUCUUCUCUCAAAAAUAAUUACCAGCUGCUCCCUGCUUCAAAAUAAUUAGAAAUCUUCAUCACAAACAAUGAUCACUCUCUCUAAAAUCUUUCUUCUCUUUCUACACAGCUAAUCAAGAUUUUUAUUAAAUCAAAUUUACAACUCUCUUUUUAUAUAUCUAUUUAAUUACCAGUAAUUAAUUCAUGUGGAUGACCUUCAAGAAUAACUACAUAUGGGCAGGCAGGGGUUAUUCGCAUCUCUGCAUUUGUCAUCUGCUAGUAGUAAUCCUCAUCAGCAAGCAUAGAACUCAACCAGCUCGUCUAGAGACUCCGGCUGUGGAUCAGCGUUCUCCAACAUCCAUAGCAAGUGUUCGAACAAAACCACCUCGCAUGCUAUGCUGAUCGUAUCAGACUCGCUCGACCUCUCUGCAAGCUCGCGAAACAGCGGAUGGUCGAUCACGUCCGAGCUUAUGAGGUAGCGUCUGCGAGAUUUUCCCACGUAAACUGGGUGAAGGUCUCCCGAGUGGGAGGAGGAUGUGUCGUCCACGGUGGCGGCAAUGGAACUCCCACUGGGGCGGCUUUGCUUAUUGAAUGAGUUGAGUUUCUUGAGGACUGACUUGAGCUUGUUUAGCUUGCCUCCUUUGGCCAUUGCUUGGGUUUUAAGAAUUAUGGAAGAAUAGAAAAUCCUUGGACAAAGAGGAAUGGGCUAUUGUUGCUGAA
rnacentral:misc_RNA from 1 species